ensembl:lncRNA
AAUAGAGACAAUAGUGACAUCAAGUCAAAGUAAAACACGCAAGAGAUAAAAGAGGGAAUGAGGCGGGAAAAAAAAAAGAGGACACACAACUUCAGACGGAGCGGGAAACAACAAUACAGAUAAGUGAUGGAGAGGCAGAGAUUUCUGGUUCAAGUCCUGUGCUGCCGGGGCAUCGCCGAUGCUGCCGCAUUGUCAGAGGCCUGCAUGCAAGCACUCUCCUCAAGAGGUUCUGAGUAUUCCGAUUGACCACAAACCAACAAUCAUUUUCUGCGAAUGGCCUGACCUGAGGCAGAAAAUGCAGAAGAACGUUCAAGUUCAAACAGCCUGAAGGCCGACCAUGGAAACUGACAGGAGCCUCAAAAUGUCAUGAUGGGCCAGAGUGCGUGACGUGGAGGGGCAAGGCCCACGGUGAAAUUAACGAGGGAGAAAUUCGUCAGAGGCCACAUUCUUUGACCCAAGUGUGACCUCACAAUUCCUGAGGCCUCCCACCAGAUGAACAACACUGAGUAAGAUCUAAGAUUACACAUGGUUAAGGAAACGAUCCCAACACAUAUUAGACUGUGGUGAAACACAACGCGAAUAGAUAUUUAGG